GACGAACGCUGGCGGCGCGCUUAACACAUGCAAGUCGAGCGAGAACCAGCCCUUCGGGGCUGGGGAAAGCGGCGAACGGGUGAGUAACACGUGGGUAAUCUGCCCUCGGCACCGGAAUAGCCCGGGGAAACCCGGAUUAAUGCCGGAUAGCCUCUCCAGCCCUUGGGCUGGUGAAAAAAGGUAGCUUCGGCCUCUGGCCGAGGAGGAGCCCGCGGCGGAUUAGCUUGUUGGUGGGGUAAAGGCCCACCAAGGCGACGAUCCGUAGCUGGUCUGAGAGGACGAUCAGCCACACUGGGACUGAGACACGGCCCAGACUCCUACGGGAGGCAGCAGUGGGGAAUCUUGCGCAAUGGGCGAAAGCCUGACGCAGCGACGCCGCGUGCGGGAAGAAGGCCUUCGGGUUGUAAACCGCUUUCAGGAGGGACGAAGCCACUCGGGUUAAUAGCCCAGAGGGUGACGGUACCUCCAGAAGAAGCCCCGGCUAACUACGUGCCAGCCGCCGCAGUAACAC
rnacentral:rRNA from 1 species